GGUGAAGUUGUCUAUUCCCCUCAAUUCAUUCUUCAAUCUGGGCGUUACGAGUCAGAUGUGCACGUAUAUACAUCCUUAACGCAUACACUGAGGAAGGCAAAGGGAAAAAAAUUUCGGCCAUGGAGGGUCUGACCGUGCCCUACAAGUGGAUCCCUCCGUUACUGCCACCACGUUUCAACCGAGAAGCGCCUUCCAAACCCAAGAUUUCUUUGAGGAAAACCCAGAAACCAGUGUCCGUAAAACUAGACCACAGAGCCACGGAGGCACAGUUAAACUACCUCUGCAAGAAUGGGCAGCUAAGCGAAGCGAUAGCCGCUCUGGAUUCCUUUGCGCAAUGCGGGUCCAAGGUGAGCCCCCAAAUAUUCAGCCGUUUGAUAGAGUCUUGCGUCGGUGCAAAUUCAGUUCAAUUAGGGCGCAAGCUCCAUAGCCAAAUUGGUCUUUUAAGCGAGAUAGAUCCGUUCAUUGAGACUAAAUUGGUCGGCAUGUAUGCGAAAUGUGGGUCUUUGGACGACGCCCGUAAAGUGUUCGAUGAAAUGCGCGAUAGGAAUUUAUACGCCUGGUCGGCCAUGAUUGGUGCGUACUCGAGAGAGCGGAGGUGGAGGGAAGUAGUCGAAUUGUUCUAUUCGAUGAUGGAAUAUGGCGUUAUACCUGAUGAUUUUCUGUUUCCUAAGAUUUUGCAGGCUUGUGGGUAUUGCGGGGAUGUUGAGACGGGGAGGUCGAUACAUUCGAUAGUGAUUCGAACUGGAAUGGGCCAUGAAAACCGUGUUAACAAUUCAAUUUUGUCUGUGUAUGCUAGAUGUGGGUGGUUGAGUUCCGCGAGAAGGUUUUUCGAGAAAAUGGAAGGGAAGGACAAGGUGUCAUGGAAUUCGAUUAUUUCAGGGUAUUGUUUAAAGGGCAAGAUCAAAGAGGCACAUAGACUGUUUUACUUGAUGCGCGCAGAUGGGAUUGAACCUGGUUUGGUAACUUGGAACAUACUGAUAACAAGUUAUACCCAGUUGGGGGACUGUGAGCUCGCUGUAGAAGCAAUGAAGGAAAUGGAGAGUUCUGGGAUCGUUCCUGAUGUCAUCAGUUGGACUUCAAUUAUCUCAGGCCUUGCUCAAAAUAACAGGAUAAGUCAGGCAUUGGAAUUGUUCAGGGAUAUGCUUUUGGCAGGUGUUGAACCGAAUGAGGUUGCACUCAUGACUGCAAUCUCAGCAAGUGCAUCUCUUAAAUCCUUACAGAAGGGGAUGGAACUGCACUCUAUUGCAGUUAAGGUAGGAUUUACUGAAGAUGUGCUAGUGGGAAAUUCACUCAUUGACAUGUAUUGGAAGUGCGGGAAACUUGAAGCUGCUCAGCGGGCAUUUGAUAUGAUCGAAGAGAAAGACGUCUAUACUUGGAACUCCAUGAUCGGAGGAUACUGCCAAGCUGGAUACUGCGGGAUGGCCCAUGAUUUAUUCCUGAACAUGCAGAGAUCAGGUGUAGCACCCAAUGUAGUCACGUGGAAUGUGAUGAUUACGGGUUACAUGCAAAAUGGAGACGAGGAUCAAGCCUUGGAUCUGUUUCACCGGAUGGAGAAAGACGGAACCAUUAAACGAGAUACUGCAUCAUGGAACACUCUUAUUGCCGGCUACUUGCAAAAUGGGCAUAAAAAUAAGGCAUUAGGGGUAUUCCGACAAAUGCAAUCACUCGGUGUUAGUCCAAAUUCAGUUACCAUUUUGAGCCUACUACCUGCUUGUGCAAAUUUAGUCGCUGCAAAUAAAGUGAAAGAGAUCCAUGGUUGUCUAUUGCGCAGAAAUUUAGAGUCUGGACUAUCAGUUGUGAAUGCUCUCAUAGAUUCUUAUGCCAAAUCAGGCAAUAUAGCUCAUUCAAGAAUCAUAUUUGAUAGAAUGUCAACUAAAGAUGUAAUCACUUGGAACACAAUGAUUGCCGGUUCUGUUUUGCAUGGUUGUGCCCAUGCUGCAGUCGAUCUAUUUGUCAAGAUGAAAAAAAUGGGGCUUAAACCUAACCGAGGUACCUUUGUGUGUUAUAUCUCUGCAUGUGGUCUUGCUGGAAUGGUUGAUGAGGGGAAGCAAAUUUUCUCUAGCAUGACUGAAGACUAUCAUGUUUUGCCAUGUUUGGAACACAGCUUGGCCAUGGUACAUCUCUUUGGUCGUUCAGGUAGGUUUAAGGAAGCAAUUGAAUUUAUUGAAAAUAUGUGCAUGGAGAAUGAUGUCUCUGUUUGGUGUGCCUUACUAACUGCCAGUAGGAUCCAUGGGAACUUUGGAUUAGUUGUCUAUGCCAGGGAAAGAAUACUAGAAUUAAAACCAAGGAGUGCCUUGCUUCUGAAGGUUAUCUCACAGACAUAUGCAUUAUGUGGGAUCUCUGAGGAUUCUUUACAUGUGAGAAAGCCCAGUAAGGUGUAUGAGACUAAAGAAUCUCUUGGAUGGAGCAUGAUUGAAGUUAAAAAUGUGGUACACACCUUUGCUGCAGGUGAUCUGUCGAAACCAAAUUCAGGAAUUCUAUAUUCUUGGGUUAGAAGCAUAGCAGGACAAAUUAGGGGGCCUGGUCCUCUUGAUGGGCUUUGUAUUGAGGAAGAAGAGGAGGAGGAAAUUAUUGGGGUCCAUAGUGAAAAGCUUGCAAUUGCUUUUUCCCUUAUUGGCUCGCCCCAUAUAUCUCAUAGCAUACGGAUUGUGAAGAAUCUUAGAAUGUGUAGAGAUUGCCACAGAACAGCCAAAUUGAUUUCUAAGGUGCACAGGUGUGAAAUAUAUUUGAGCGAUUCUGCAUGCUUGCACCAUUUUAAAGACGGGCAGUGCUCAUGCCUUGAUUAUUGGUAAAUAAGAAAGACAAGAAUCAGCGGAGAAUUCUCAGAGAUUGGUUAGGAGUGUAUGGAGUCCAGUAUGAGGGGCUGAAAUUUUCUUCAAGUUAAGAUGUAUUCUGCUACCUACUCCGAAGAAUAUGGAGUAUUAUGGGAAGAGUAUCAUUUCCGUUGGACCUUGGGGAGGCCCAGAUGGCUUUUAUUGGGAUGAUGGAGUGCAUUCAGGAAUAAGGCAAUUGGUGAUAGCUCAUGGCGCCGGAGUGGAUUCCAUCCGGAUUGAAUAC